UUGAUAUUAUCAUCUGCUGAGGGUGGAGCUGAGGGUGGAAGGGGAGUGAGCUGACGCUCGGAAGGUGUCUUGAGAUUAUCAUCCGCUGAGGGUGGAAGGGGAUGGAGCAGACACUCGGCACGUGUCUUGAGAUUAUCAUCCGCUGAGGGUGGAAGGGGAGUGAGCAGACACUCAGGAGGUGUCUUGAGAUUAUCAUCCGCUGAGGGUGGAAGGGGAGUGAGCACACACUCGGGAGGUGUCUUGAGAUUAUCAUCCGCUGAGGGUGGAAGGGGAGUGAGCAGACACUCGGGAGGUGUCUUGAGGCUCAGGGAGUUAUCAGUUAUAGAAUGUUGUUGAGUUGGAGGAGGUGGCUGGUGGCCCAUCCUGUUUUUUAAAGUUUCAGCUGUGAGGUA
rnacentral:lncRNA from 1 species